rnacentral:rRNA from 1 species
GAUCCUGGCUCAGGAUGAACGCUGGCGGCGUGCUUAACACAUGCAAGUCGAACGAAGCACUUAUCUUUGAUUCUUCGGAUGAAGAGGUUUGUGACUGAGUGGCGGACGGGUGAGUAACGCGUAUGCAACCUACCUUUAACAGGGGGAUAACACUGAGAAAUUGGUACUAAUACCCCAUAAUAUCAUAGAAGGCAUCUUUUAUGGUUGAAAAUUCCGAUGGUUAGAGAUGGGCAUGCGUUGUA